rnacentral:rRNA from 1 species
GACAUGUGAGGCAAGCGUUGUUCGGAAUCACUGGGCAUAAAGGGUGCGUAGGCGGCUUGUUAAGUCAGAGGUGAAAGUUUUCGGCCCAACCGGAAAAUGGCCUUUGAUACUGGCGAGCUGGAGUGCGUGAGGGGUGACUGGAACGAGUGGUGUAGCGGUGAAAUGCGUAGAUAUCACUCGGAAGGCCAAAGGCGAAGGCAGGUCACUGGUACGCAACUGACGCUGAGGCACGAAAGCGUGGGGAGCAAACAGG